GUUUGUUUGUUUCUCUUUUCUUUUGGUGUGUGUUGAGAUAGUUCAUUUAAGGUUCGAAUUGUUGUUUAUUACAUUUUUUAGAUGAAGAUUGAAAAUGGGUACUUCCUGUUUUUGUUUUUAGGUUUGGUUCAUUUUGAGGUUUCUGUAGAUUUUUAUUUUUAUUUUUAUUUUUUACAGUUUUUAGAUGAAGAUGAAAAUUGGGUCUUUUCUGUUUAUGGUUCAUUUGAGGUUUCAAUGAUUUUUUUUCAUUCUUGGCAUGAACAUAGAAAAUGGAUAUAUUACUUUGGUGUGUAUAAAUUGAUUAUGUUUUGUUUUUAAUGGCAUAAAAG
rnacentral:lncRNA from 1 species